AUUGAACGCUGGCGGCAUGCCUUACACAUGCAAGUCGAACGGCAGCACGGGAGCAAUCCUGGUGGCGAGUGGCGAACGGGUGAGUAAUAUAUCGGAACGUGCCCAGUCGUGGGGGAUAACGUAGCGAAAGCUACGCUAAUACCGCAUACGAUCUAUGGAUGAAAGCGGGGGAUCGCAAGACCUCGCGCGAUUGGAGCGGCCGAUAUCAGAUUAGGUAGUUGGUGAGGUAAAGGGCUCACCAAGCCGACGAUCUGUAGCUGGUCUGAGAGGACGACCAGCCACACUGGGACUGAGACACGGCCCACGACUCCUACGGGAGGCAGCAGUGGGGAAUUUUGGACAAUGGGCGCAAGCCUGAUCCAGCAAUGCCGCGUGCAGGAUGAAGGCCUUCGGGUU
rnacentral:rRNA from 1 species